rnacentral:rRNA from 1 species
UACGAAGGGGCUAGCGUUGCUCGGAAUCACUGGGCGUAAAGGGCGCGUAGGCGGAUCUUUAAGUCAGGGGUGAAAGCCUGAGGCUCAACCUCAGAAUUGCCUUUGAUACUGAAGAUCUUGAGACCGGAAGAGGUAAGUGGAACUGCGAGUGUAGAGGUGAAAUUCGUAGAUAUUCGCAAGAACACCAGUGGCGAAGGCGGCUUACUGGUCCGGUUCUGACGCUGAGGCGCGAAAGCGUGGGAGCGAACAGG